rnacentral:lncRNA from 1 species
GUGGACUAAAUUUGAACAAAAUUCCCAGGCUGUAGGUACUCAACAAACACUGGACACCCUCAGAAUGUCUGAUCAACGACUGAAAGGUGGCUCACAGGGUCUCCAGGGCAGCCCUCUAGGUGGUGGUCCUGAGGGUCCCGUGAAAGGAAGAGCUCUGAAGCUGCCUGGGCCAGUGAGAGGCCACCACACCCGAGUCCCUACACGCUCUGGCGUUCCGGCCCUCGGAGUGGGCGGGAAGGAGGGCGUGACCGCCUUUUCAAGGCUGGGGCCAUCCAUGCCUAAUACCUGUGACGACAGGACUCCCGACAAGGGACGGGUACGGCGUGUGUCGGGCGAUAUCCGGGAGUUCCUAUGUGAAGGAGAAGACCUAGAAGGAGCGCCUGAGUAGCGACCUUGGGGAUGCUGCGGGAAGACUCGGCGGACCGAGCGGUUAGCCCCCCAACCCCGCGCCCCGCAGAGAGACCGAGGCGAAGGGAGCGAGCGCGCGUGCGCACUGGCGCGCGCCCCGUAGGAAAAAGCCCAGCGCGCGGUUCCGCGCGCGCGCGCGUUCGAAAGGGCGGGGGAGUCUCCCCCGCGGGUGCCCGCGGCAUUUAGGCCGGUGUUGGCCGGCGAGCGCGCGUGCGCGAGCGCGGAAAGACACCCUCCUCAGCCGCUCCCCUCCAUUGGGGGUCUAGCGCACAGCUCCGCUGUCCCCGCCUCUCCCGAGGCUCGCGCCCUCGGGGUAAGUACCUCGCGCCUGGCGGAGAGCGGGGUGAGUCCGCCGGAGGAAGGUUGGAGGCGGACAGGUCUGGGAGAAAGGGAAAAACCGCCCUCGCGGAGCGAAGAGCUCGGCUACCGGGCAGGAGUCUGCAGAAGGCACGCCUCCAUCCCUCACGCCCCUCGGGGCUGCGGAAGUACUCUGGAGACUGGAGCGGCACGGAGGCGACAGGUGGACUACCCUUCCCAGAAGGCAGCGCGGGGCUGCGCCUACUGCUCCCGGCAAUACCUGCGCGCCAGGCCUUCCCCCUCUCCCCCCCCCCCCCCCUUUGGUGCCCCCCAGGGGGCAACNGGCUUCGCGCAAAGCGGCUUGGAAGUGGGCAGCCUGGAAGUCACUCGGGCCACCCGAGCUGGCGGCGUCUCUAGCGAACGGCGCGGGGCCGGACGCCGCGGUCGUGGGGCCCGCAGGGCGGGCAGCAGGGACGCCCAGCUGCACAGUCUUUGACAUCAGCUCUCCUGGGACCCUCAAGGAGCACUAGUGUCCGGAACAUACGGAGCAUGCUGGGAACUUAGAAUAUGGGAGAGAGGAGGUACCAGGCAGAGGCUGCCUGGCCUGGGACACAUCCUCAGUGGUAAGUUAACACGAGAUUGUGACUCAGGGGCCAGAAAUAAGCAGAGCUAUGUCCAUCUGUGUGUGCACAUAUGUGAGAGAGACGAACACACAGGGGGACACGGACAGGUGUGAACAGAGACCUAGAAACAUGGGAUAGCGAUGCAGAGAGAUGGGGUCGAGGUGGAAAUUGAUAGGGACACAGAAAUAGGCCAGUUGCCUGGCUGGCUAGUGGUUGAUUAACUGGAUGAUUGGUUGGUUAGUUGGUUAUCUGGUUGGCUGGCUAGUUGGUUUUCUGGCCAAGUGGCUGACUGGCUUGUUUCUCUUUUCUUUUCUUUUCUUUUCUUUUCUUUUCUUUUCUUUUCUUUUCUUUUCUUUUCUUUUCUUUUUUUCUUUUCGUUUUUCUUUUCUUCUCUUUUCUUUUCUUUUCUUUUCUUUUCUUUUCUUUUCUUUUCUUUUCUUCUUUCUCUCUCUUUCUUUUUUUUAAUGGACUCAGCAGAGACUUAUGGAGCACUCCCCUGAUCUCAGCACUGCUUUGGACCUGGGCAAAGAGUGGUGAACAGUGGCUGCCAGCAUUUGGGUGUCUGACCACUGCUCCCUGCCCCUCCCCCUGUGAAAGUGCUGUGAGUGCAGCCAUCGAGUUGUUCUCGUUGUUUCUCAGAUCCUGAGUAAGGAUGUAUACGUGCUUCUUCUGUGCCCUUACCACGGGGAGUGGUAUCUUAGGGGGAUCAUCUUGGGCUCCUCUAGCAGUGCGACAAGGUGGCACUGCUGCCUGCUCUGGUCUGUGUUGGGGCCACAAUGUGAUCCCAGGACCCCAGCAUGAGCCUGAUUUCUGUCUCAAAUCACCGAGGGAUGGAGAGUGGGCAUUUAUCGAGGCCCAUCAUGUUCACAGCUCUGUCCCGACUUUUUAGAGAAGACAGCAGCUCUGGUGGCCAUAGAGUCACCACCUGGUUCCAGUCCUCCCUCUGCCUUUUACCUCAUGGGAAGCUUGCCCCUCUGAGUCUCUGUGUUCCCGUAUGUCAACGGGGGAGAACAGUAGGGCCUUACCCCGGGAUGCUGCAUGGGCUGAGGAGGGCCAAGUAUGAGGCCAGUGUUUCUCAGUAGGGUCGCCAUUAUUACGUAUAGCUUUGGGUACCCGACCGUUGGAGCAAGCCUCCAGUCUGGGCUCCUGGUGGCAUUAAAUGCCAAUUUUUGCUCUUACUUUUGACAGCUUGUCUCUCAAGUUGGUCACAGGGCAGACCCUGGAGUCAGCCAGAGCCAGGUCUAGACCCCCAUUCCUCUUCUCAUCCUCUCUUUGACCUUGGGCAAGCACUGUCCCCGCUGAGAAGCUCAGUUUCCCCAUUUUGUAAUGGAGGUGAUGGGAACACUGCCUCAGUGGACCAUUAGGAGGCAGGUUCUGUAGCAGGUGCUCCACCCCAGCUGGGCCUGGCCCUCAGCAACCCCCGGGGGUCAGGGGCAGGUAUGCUGAUUUCUGCUGGCAGAUGGUGCCCCCCCAGGAUAACAAGGUUUACUCCCCUCCCCUCCCACCACAGGGAGCCUUUUUGUUUCUGUGUCCUGUACCCCCCACCACCCCCAUCCCUCCACAAAGCUCCUCAGGUGAGGAGAAGCAGAGCCAGAGAUGCCCCCAGCCGGCCCCCUAGAACAGGAUGGAAAGAACAGGGCUUUAACAGAUGUUCUUUGACAAGG